UUUAGUUUGGAAAAACGGCACCUCAGAGGGGAAAUGAUAACUUUAUACAAAUAUAUUUAGGGCCAGUACAAACCUUCAUCUGGAAAUCUAUUCAUAAACAGGGCUAUACAUAUGGCACGAGGUCACACUUAAGGCUGCAAGAAAGGAGAUUUCAUCUAGGGCAAAGAAAAGUGGAUUUUUUACAGUAAGAGCAAUAAGGAUAUGGAAUUCUCUGCCUGAAGAGGUGGUUUUGUCAGAGUCACUACAGAUGUUUAAACUGCAUUUGGAUAAAUACUUACAUAAACAUAACAUACAGGGAUAUAAUUUCUAAUUAGUGGGGUAAUGGCUGCUUGAUCCAAGGAGACAUCUGACUGCUAUUUUGGGGUCAAGAAGGAUUUUUUUCCUAGUUUGUGGCAAAAUUGGAAGCACUUCAGACUAGGUUUUUUGCCUUCUUUUGGAUCAACAGCAACAACAUCAUAUGUGAGGAAGGCUGAAUUUGAAGGACGCAAGUCUUUUUUCAGCUAUGUAACUGUCCAAAUGUACAGGUCAUUAAAUUCUACUUUGUGAUUUGAGUGCAGAAUUAAAAGUGGCUCGGUCACCUCAAACUUGCUUUUCUCCUACGGCGCUCUUAGCGUAAUUCACAUUUUUUUCUCUCAUUUGUCUCUAAAAAAAGAAUAAAAAAAACACAACCCCUUCCAAAAAAAAAAACAACUAGGGAAUACUUUGUCGUAUGUAUUCCUAUAGUUGACCGUGGGUGGAUCUAAGACAAUCUCCACUUAUUGUUUUAAGAUAAAAGGAGUGGUUUUAAAGAGAAACAGAAAUUUAGCAAAGAGAUUCUGAAAGUAGAAGAGAAAAUGAAAUAGGAGAAAUGCAUUUUUGAGAUGACUUGAAGAUUUGAAGCUGGAUAUCAGCAUUAGGAUAUUUUGUUGCAAUAAAGUUAAUUAAAAAGUCAUAUGGUAGAAAUCAC